rnacentral:rRNA from 1 species
AUUGAACGCUGGCGGCAUGCUUUACACAUGCAAGUCGGACGGCAGCACAGAGAAGCUUGCUUCUUGGGUGGCGAGUGGCGAACGGGUGAGUAACAUAUCGGAACGUACCGAGUAGUGGGGGAUAACUGAUCGAAAGAUCAGCUAAUACCGCAUACGUCUUGAGAGGGAAAGCAGGGGACCUUCGGGCCUUGCGCUAUUCGAGCGGCCGAUAUCUGAUUAGCUAGUUGGUGGGGUAAAGGCCUACCAAGGCGACGAUCAGUAGCGGGUCUGAGAGGAUGAUCCGCCACACUGGGACUGAGACACGGCCCAGACUCCUACGGGAGGCAGCAGUGGGGAAUUUUGGACAAUGGGCGCAAGCCUGAUCCAGCCAUGCCGCGUGUCUGAAGAAGGCCUUCGGGUUGUAAAGGACUUUUGUCAGGGAAGAAAAGGCUGUUGCUAAUAUCAGCGGCUGAUGACGGUACCUGAAGAAUAGGCACCGGCUAACUACGUGCCAGCAGCCGCGGUAAUACGUAGGGUGCGAGCGUUAAUCGGAAUUACUGGGCGUAAAGCGAGCGCAGACGGUUACUUAAGCAGGAUGUGAAAUCCCCGGGCUCAACCUGGGAACUGCGUUCUGAACUGGGUGGCUAGAGUGUGUCAGAGGGAGGUAGAAUUCCACGUGUAGCAGUGAAAUGCGUAGAGAUGUGGAGGAAUACCGAUGGCGAAGGCAGCCUCCUGGGAUAACACUGACGUUCAUGCUCGAAAGCGUGGGUAGCAAACAGGAUUAGAUACCCUGGUAGUCCACGCCCUAAACGAUGUCAAUUAGCUGUUGGGCAACUUGAUUGUUCAGUAGCGUAGCUAACGCGUGAAAUUGACCGCCUGGGGAGUACGGUCGCAAGAUUAAAACUCAAAGGAAUUGACGGGGACCCGCACAAGCGGUGGAUGAUGUGGAUUAAUUCGAUGCAACGCGAAGAACCUUACCUGGUCUUGACAUGUACGGAAUCCUCCAGAGACGGAGGAGUGCCUUCGGGAGCCGUAACACAGGUGCUGCAUGGCUGUCGUCAGCUCGUGUCGUGAGAUGUUGGGUUAAGUCCCGCAACGAGCGCAACCCUUGUCAUUAGUUGCCAUCAUUCAGUUGGGCACUCUAAUGAGACUGCCGGUGACAAGCCGGAGGAAGGUGGGGAUGACGUCAAGUCCUCAUGGCCCUUAUGACCAGGGCUUCACACGUCAUACAAUGGUCGGUACAGAGGGUAGCCAAGCCGCGAGGCGGAGCCAAUCUCACAAAACCGAUCGUAGUCCGGAUUGCACUCUGCAACUCGAGUGCAUGAAGUCGGAAUCGCUAGUAAUCGCAGGUCAGCAUACUGCGGUGAAUACGUUCCCGGGUCU